GCUGGGCAACGUGGCCCAUGCCUGUAAUUCCAGCAGCUGGGGAGGCUGAGACAGGAAGAUCGCGAAUUAAGCAACUCAGUGAGAUCUUGUCUCUA
rnacentral:sRNA from 1 species